CAAGCAGGGAUAGUGUGUAUCGGCGUUGUGCUUAAUCAGUGCACUUUGCUCGAAAGAGUUCCCAUGCGAUACUAAUUUGACAAGGAGAAGGUGGGCAGUUGUGUUCCAAUUAUCUCCAUUGGAAUCUUCAACAAUCAUUUUCUCCACAUUU